GAUGAAGAACGCAGCGAAAUGCGAUAAGUAAUGUGAAUUGCAGAAUUCAGUGAAUCAUCGAAUCUUUGAACGCACAUUGCGCCCGCCAGUAUUCUGGCGGGCAUGCCUGUCCGAGCGUCAUUUCAACCCUCGAACCCCUCCGGGGGGUCGGCGUUGGGGACCUCGGGAGCCCCUAAGACGGGAUCCCGGCCCCGAAAUACAGUGGCGGUCUCGCCGCAGCCUCUCCUGCGCAGUAGUUUGCACAACUCGCACCGGGAGCGCGGCGCGUCCACGUCCGUAAAACACCCAACUUCUGAAAUGUUGACCUCGGAUCAGGUAGGAAUACCCGCUGAACUUAAGCAUAUCAAUGAGCGGAGGA
rnacentral:misc_RNA from 1 species